rnacentral:rRNA from 1 species
GCUUGCUUGUUGGGGUUGUAGGACACUCUAUACGGAGUUACAAAGGACGACAUUAGACGAAUCAUCUGGAAAGAUGAAUCAAAGAAGGUAAUAAUCCUGUAGUCGAAAAUGUUGUCUCUCUUGAGUGGAUCCUGAGUACGACGGAGCACGUGAAAUUCCGUCGGAAUCUGGGAGGACCAUCUCCUAAGGCUAAAUACUCUCUAGUGACCGAUAGUGAACCAGUACCGUGAGGGAAAGGUGAAAAGCACCCCGGAAGGGGAGUGAAAUAGAACCUGAAACCGUGUGCUUACAAGUAGUCAGAGCCCGUUAAUGGGUGAUGGCGUGCCUUUUGUAGAAUGAACCGGCGAGUUACGAUUUGAUGCAAGGUUAAGCAGUAAAUGUGGAGCCGUAGCGAAAGCGAGUCUGAAUAGGGCGUUUAGUAUUUGGUCGUAGACCCGAAACCAGGUGAUCUACCCUUGGUCAGGUUGAAGUUCAGGUAACACUGAAUGGAGGACCGAACC